ACCCCCUCCCAAUCAUCUCACUCACAGACUACCCAGCAACCUUAGAGAUAACCUGGCUGCUGCCCAGAGAUUCCCAUCGCCACUAGUUGCGGCGUCACCUCCAAUCACCCCCAUAUUUAUACCAUAACAUCUCCUUCCUCCCCUCGUAAAAAAUCCAUCAUUGGUUCCCUUCAAAUAAUGGUGGAACUUGUCGAAUCUUCGACCAAAAUUUGGACCCUCAAACUUAAAUUCCCCAAAUCUACCCAAAUUCAUACCAUGCAGUACCCAGGCCAUCCUAAAUCUUAUCCCCGCAUUUAUUUCCCAAAAAUCCCAAUGAAAUCCCCCUAUUACGAAUCUAGAAAUUCAAACCCUAUUUCAUAAUAUUUUCUCUAAUUCGACAUAAGUUGUAGCUCGAUUUGAUCUAUACUUUAUGCUAGUCGAUUUUUCUUAAUGAGAAUAAUCGAUUAGCAUUGGUUUUAUUUCAUUUCGAGGACGCAUAAUUUUUACAAAACCUAUCAAAUUUAGGCAAAGUGUUUGCUCCAGUCUUUGUUCGUCAAUUGGUGGACUGUUGUUAAUACAUUCUAGCGUGCUUUGGUAUUCUCCUAUUUUUCUGACUUACAGGUUCAUUGUUCCUUUAUUAUUAUUAUUAUUAUUAUUAUUACUAUUAUUAUUAUUUUGUAUUUGCUUCAUUAUUUUAUCCUAUUUUCUUUAGUAAUCGAAUUCAUUUUUAAUUUUGUAGUUACAUUAAUUUGAAUCAUGAAGUCCGAAUUAUUUGUUUCUUUUUACUUUCUGGAUUUGAUUUUCCUUUUUAAUGUGUGUUUAAUCAUUUCUCAUAUAUUUGGUUUCUUUUGUUAACUGUGGUCAUUGCUGACCUAGUUAAAAGACCCAUUUCAUUUUGGAGUCUUGGGUUAACUCAACCCAAAUUGGAACUCUAAAGGUAAAUAUAGGGGUGUCAAGGGUAAAUUUGGGGAUUUGGGUCUAAAGGUAUCAUUUUCUGUUAGGGGGAAGGUUCUAGAGGAUAAAAUAAGAGCUGAUUUGUUAAGGGGAGGGGACUGCAUUAAUAAAAUAAAAACUAAGAAAAAACAAAUUGAAAAAGGGCCUAUAUGCAAAACUGAAAACCUGAGGCUGCCCUAUUUUCCUUUCCUAUAAAGGCAUCUAUUCUUGCCUUUCAAGGCAUGAAUUUGAGUGAUAAAAGACAGAAAAAGGAAACAACUGAGGUUUUAUUCCAUUGAAUCUCCUUUCUUAGUCGAUAUUAGAAGUUUUCAAGUCUGGACACAUUUUCUGGUUUAUUCUGAGAGUUCAUAUGGAGUGGUAUUGAAUUUGGGGAGAGUGUUUUGCUUCAAGUUGCUAAGGACCACUAUUCCAUUGAAUGUUCAAGCUGGUUUUUUCAGUAUUUCAAUCAUUGAAUUUGGAUUGUGUUGUUGUUGGUCCAUUUUCCUGUUACUCUGCUGACCCUCCACGUUUCCUUUUCCAUUUUAAUCUCUAGGUAUACCUUCAAACUUUAAUGGAAUGGAGUUUUGAAUAGUCUAUAUGAAGAUUUGGAUUUAAUUUAGAAUUUGAGUCAAAAUACUUAUUCCUGGUGUAAUUGUCGCUAAUUCCAAUCAUUGUGUGUGAUCGAAUAGUUCAGUUUCAUGUAAAUUCAGUUUCUUGUUUAUGUUGGAUUUCUAGUCCAUGCUAGUAGCUUAGGGUGAUUUGGUCGUUUAGAUGAAAUGUUUAAAUGUUAGCAUUGUAAUAGUGUUGGGAUUCUACUUGUAUGAAUAAAUUGCUAAACAUUUUGUGGGAAAAUGGACAUGAGGUUCAAUUUUGGUCGAAUGUUCUGUAAUCUGAAAAUCAUUACUAUAUAAAUAGACUUGGUCAUCAUGCUUUAAAUCCUCCGGGAAAUUGGAACAACAUGUUUGCUUAGUCGAGUUAGUAAGGAAGUUCUGCAUAUAAUUUUUAGUAGCAAUUUGCUUGAUUAGAUGUUGAAUGAUCAAAAAAUCAAUAGAAAUAGUAACUUCUGUGCAAGAGUAGUAU
rnacentral:lncRNA from 1 species